rnacentral:rRNA from 1 species
CCUACGGGUGGCAGCAGUGAGGAAUAUUGGUCAAUGGACGAGAGUCUGAACCAGCCAAGUAGCGUGAAGGAUGACUGCCCUAUGGGUUGUAAACUUCUUUUAUAUGGGAAUAAAACAGGGUAUGCAUACCCUCUUGUAUGUACCAUAUGAAUAAGGAUCGGCUAACUCCGUGCCAGCAGCCGCGGUAAUACGGAGGAUCCGAGCGUUAUCCGGAUUUAUUGGGUUUAAAGGGAGCGUAGGCGGGCGUUCAAGUCAGCUGUAAAAUCGCGCGGCUCAACCGCGCCCCGCAGUUGAAACUGGACGCCUUGAGUUCACAACAGGCAGGCGGAAUUCGUGGUGUAGCGGUGAAAUGCAUAGAUAUCACGAGGAACCCCGAUUGCGAAGGCAGCCUGCCGGGGUGCGACUGACGCUGAGGCUCGAAGGUGCGGGUAUCAAACAGGAUUAGAUACCCCAGUAGUC